CUUGGAGAAAGAUGGUCUAUUUUCUUUUCAACUACUGAGGAAACCAUGAAGUUCAGGAGAUUCUCAAGCUCUCAUGGCCGAGAAGUGUUAUGCAGACUGGAGGCCUCCAUGGGAUUGAGGUGGGAGCCUGGGCAGGUUAGCAGACUGCCAGCUGAAAGUAGGGGAAAGUACUAGUGCAGCCAGCUGGGCCCCUGCAAACUGAUGCUGCCCUGACAUCUCCAAGAGGCCAGAGAUGGAAAGAACAGAAGACAGAGGUGCCGCUCGGGAUCCACCUGCGCCGUGAAGGUGAACACCGCGGGGGCGGUGAGCACCACAGAGAGGCCGUGAGGCUGGAGGGAGACCACACACAGUCACCGAAGGUCCAGCUCUUCUUCGAGUUGCAAAUUCAAAAUGUACUCCAAGCAAUCAAGAAGUGACAAGUAUAUUUAAGGAAAUUGCAAGGAGUAUAAAAUUCAAUUAAAUCAUUCAUUAUUAUUAUUAUUGUUAUUAUUUUACCACCAGUGGGUGAUCCACAUUGUAGUCCUUUGCUUUAUACGUCUUCACUAAACCUGAAAUUGGGUAAGACAUCCCAUGGCUAGAAAAGAAAGAAAUUGCUUAUGUUGACACAGAUGUCAGGAAGUCAGUGUAAAAAUACAAUUACAAAGAUAAUCUUAAGUGCAGCAAUUCACAGUCUCUUGACAGUGUUGUGAUCUUAUAAAGUUAUUCGUUCUGUUUUUUUCCUCAUAUAAGGAUAUAUUAAUACACACUUGACAUUUAGUGUGUUCAUUAACAAAAUCUCAGGCGUGUUCAAGUUCAGAUACUAAUAGAACUGUCUGCCAUCAAAAAGCCUUAAUCCAGUGUCACUGUCUUCCCCCCUACUUGGGACCUGACGGCUCAGGGGUGUAAAUCUCCCUGGCAACGCAGGAUAUGACUCCCAGGGAUGAAUCUGGACCCGGCAUCGUGGGAUUGAGAACAUCUUGACCA